rnacentral:lncRNA from 1 species
CCCGCAGUGCUGUUCGCAGGCGGCCCUGCUGGUGGCAGGGCAAUGCCAGCGCCUAAGGAGCAUCGUCAUGUGUCUCUCGUGACCAGCAAACCAGAAAACGCGUGGGGCUCACAUUUCUAACACAACAGACCUCCAGGGCACCUACCGGACACUGUGAGUCCACGUGUGCAACGUGCUUUCAGAUACAUGGAAUUCGGUAGAGGUUUCUGGGACCCCGCUGGCUUGGGUCAUACCCAGAGAGUCUGGAAGAGUCAUCUGGACAAAAGGGUCACGUUGGCAGUGGGCCGUCAGCUGCUGCUUUCCGACGAUGACGCUCAGCUUGUCGCUUCUGAAACAAAGUUUAAAGCCUUCCAGAAGGCCAUGGACGAGGCCAGUGCUGUGACUUGAUCAGAGGAAGACGCCCGGGCUGGGCAGGCAUUACUGUGGAUGAAGGUUCAUCCAAUGAGCGCAUCAGAUGUUUUCACAUUGACCAAUGGGGCUUCGAGUGACCUGUUUGGCGAAGCUGUCCCCGCCUUCCGCGUCUCUGAGAGACGAAGCCAAGGCCAAGUAGAACAGCAGGGGCGUUCCAGGCCGUUCCUUCAGCGCCGUGAGGUUCUUGUGAGGUUAUCUGGAAGCCAGGUGGAAUUUGGGUCCCUUAAAGAGAAGAGGAGGGCUCCCCGGAUUCCUGGGUCCUGAGGAAAGGGGGUGUAGGACUUCUGGGUCUGAGAGGGGAGGAGGCCGGGGGCCCAGAAUCCUGGGUCCUGCGGGAAAUGGCGGCUGGAACGCAAAGCCCUGGAUCCCUCGGUAGAACAGGACUGGGAUCUGAGGAUUCCGAGUUCUGCGGGGUCCAGGGCCUGGCGGGCCGAGAAUCCCGGGGCGUGGGAGAGCAAAGGCUUGAACCCGGCCUCCUGAGUCUGAGGCCGAAGGGGCGUCUGGGCCGCACCCGGACCCCAAGGUUGGAGGGUCCCGGUCGUUGAACUCCUCUGUCUUUGGGGAAUAGGGGUUUGGGUCGGAGGGUUGCAGCUGUGGAAACUGAGGCACAGCGAACGUGUUAAUGUGCUCACACUCGCAGGCUAGCCAGAGCCACCGCGACUGGGGAGGUCGCAGUCUUCUGUGGCGCCGGCUGCGCCCCGCCGUGGCAGUACUUGCCAGAAGGUCGAUGCAGCCUCGUCGUGUGAGGCCGAAC